CUACAAGGAAAAAAUACGGUUCUUCCUUCACAGGAUGCCUUGUAUUAGUAUAGAAGAACUCAUAUCAAGGUCAGCUCAACUCAUAUAAAAAUAGCUCUUCACAGUAUGCCUCUUCACAGCGUAGUCAUAGCUUAUAGAGCUAUAAAUCUGAGACAUCCAUGAUACCACCGUAAUAGAUGCCAUGAUACUUAUUUGGCCAUCAACCAAGCCACGGCA
rnacentral:lncRNA from 1 species